UCUCUUUUUCUUCAAGCUUGUUGAAUGUUUCAAGGGUAGCAGAAGCUUGCUUGAAGGAAAACACAGUGCUUCGGAUUUCAUGGUGGAGAGAGUCUAUUUUGCCUUUGAGGCCAUGAAAGAGAGGUCCAUUGUAAGAACAGUAGGUUGAAAGGAAGUUGAGGGCAUUCUCAAGACGAUGACUGUGAUCAUCUGAGCUAGCUAUCUGAUUCAGAUCCAUCUUCAAUGAGGAUUCUAGGUCAGCAAAGGUCUUAGCCACCUCGUCAUCUUCAAAAGCAGCAAUCUCAGAAUUGCAAGGCAUUUUAAUUUCCAUGUCAGCACUUUCCUUCAUAACCCGAAACAAUCUAACAAGAUCAUCUUCCUCAAUUUGCUUAUGGUUUGCAUAGUCGUCUCUAAUUUUAACAUCAAUGGAAUUCUCGAUUUGAUUGACCAUGAUUUGAUCCUGAGAUCAAUAGAAAGAAGCGUUACUAGUUUGACCUCUCGAAUACAUAUAUGAGUCAAUAAUUGAAGAAUCAUCCAAUGGGUCAGCUUGAGAGCUCCCUAGUCUUGGAUGAGCACUUGAAGUUGCUAUUUGAGACUUCUUGAGGUCAGAGAAUGAGAUUGAGGAGAUCAAAAACCAGUAACGUUUCAUCCAAUAGACAUCAGUGCAAAGGGGGAAAAAACUGACGAGAUAUACUUACCUUGGUAGAAGCUAAUGUGCAUGGAUUUGAGAUUUCUCGUUUAGAAUGAGUUGAUGAACUUCUUUUGUCAUGAUUCUCAGAUGAAAGAUCUUCUCCAGCAGUUGCUUCAACAUUCUGCACAACACCAAAUAACUUGUAAGCUUCUCUGGAAGAACAUUCGUUGUUAGGUUACAAAAGGACUCAUUGAAGCCUUGAUGAACAACUAUUUCGCGCAAUCAAAUCCUCCUCUAAGACAAUCUUCCCAACCUCUUUAGGCAUAUUCCCAGUCACGAUGCAUUAUACAUACUGCCUUGUCAAGAUCGCAUCUUCUGAAUUUCAUUUACAAUUUUGGGGGACCCUUGUAAAGAGUGGACUGAUUUGGAUGAAGAAAUUAGAAGAUUAAAGACGAAAACAGAGGAGAUGGUAGUGGCCGUAACAGGACUUUGUUGAUGCUUUAACAUUAUACUAGAGGCAAGCCCUAUCAUGGUAGAAGUUAAGGCAGGUUUUGUGGAUCCAAAAUGUAGAGUUUUACUUUUCUACUUUAAAGCGUGAGGAAGGCUAGGGUUUACGGGGGUACAACAUUUUGAGAGUUCUGUAAGGUUCUCGAAGUGAUGGGAAGCUGCUCGCGAGGGUUUGGUGGCUAGAUUGGAGAUCGGAGAGUCUUGGAAAGCUUCUUGAGGAUCUCAACAAACAUACAGGUGAAGGUUUUGUCAGGGAUUUGCUCUUAAAUUAUCUAAAUUAGAUGAUGGACUUAUCGUUACAGAACCAUACCAACAAAAAAGAGUGCGAGAAAAGUACCUGUGCACAGUCCAGUUGUGUGGACUUGGAAAAAGCUGGGCCAUCUCUACUUGAGACACUUGAUUUUGGCAAAAAACAGCAUAGACCCCAUGAUUUCUUCACUUGGGAAGGCUGUGGGAGGUGAGGAUUGUAGCGAUCAAGGGGAAAGCACUUGUGUAGAGGUCUUUUCGCACUUCAUUCACGGAUCAACCAAUGAAAGAAGCAUUUGGUAGCUUUGUAAUGCUGGUUUAUUAAAUCUGUAGUACUAUACCAAGUGUAGUGUUGUAUUUCAAUGAGAUACUAUGAAAUGUAACUGUGUUGUAUUUCAAUGAGAUACUAUGAAAUGUAACACUCUAAUACUUUGGAUGAUCUUUUGCUUGUGUGUGGUUUCUUGAUCUCUAAGCAUGAUGCUAGCCAGACUAAUUUUUUGUAGUAACUAUUAACCUUGUUGCUCGGUGAUUGGAUGGAUGUUAUUGGCUGUAUAAAAUGAUUCUAGUUUGAUUAGGGAUGAUUAAUAA